UGGGGGCAACCCUGAUCCAGCAAUGCCAUGUGUGUGAAGAAGGCCCUAGGGUUGUAAAGCACUUUAGUUGGGGAGGAAAGCCUCAAGGUUAAUAGCCUUGGGGGAGGACGUUACCCAAAGAAUAAGCACCGGCUAACUCCGUGCCAGCAGCCGCGGUAAUACGGGGGGUGCAAGCGUUAAUCGGAAUUACUGGGCGUAAAGGGUCUGUAGGUGGUUUGUUAAGUCAGAUGUGAAAGCCCAGGGCUCAA
rnacentral:rRNA from 1 species